GUAAGGAUGGCCGAGUGGUCUAAGGCGUCAGACUCAAGAGUAAAUCUUAUUCCGUAGCGGGAGUUGGGUGUUCUCUGGUCCACUGAUGUGGGCGUGGGUUCGAAUCCCACUUCUGACA